GUCUAUGGCCAUACCACCCUGAACGCGCCUGAUCUCGUCUGAUCUCGGAAGCUAAGCAGGAUUGGGCCUGGUUAGUACUUGGAUGGGAAACACUUAGUAGGUGAAGCACAGGAACGUAGAAA
rnacentral:rRNA from 1 species